rnacentral:rRNA from 1 species
AGGUAUUGUAAUAAGAUUUUAAUUGAAUGCUAAAAGAAUGGAAGUUUAAAAAAAUUCUUUUUUAAAAUUAAAAAUUGAAUUUUUUUUAAUUUGUGAAUAAACAAUUAUAAAAAUUAAAGACAAGAAGACCCUAAGAAUUUGAAGAUCAAAUAAAUAAAAAAUUUUUUAUUUAUUUGAUCUUGAUUGGGGCGAUCAAAAAAUAUUAAUAACUUUUUAAAUUAAAAUGAUCUAUUAAUAAUAAACUAAUGAAAUAAAUACUCUAGGGAUAACAGCGUAAUAAUUUUUGAUAGAUCUUAUAGACAAAAUAGUUUGCGACCUCGAUGUUGGAUUAGGAUUCUUAUUUAAUGAAGAUGUUAAAUAAAGAAGUU